GAUGCCAGCAUGGGACUCCAGGGAAAGCCCAGAAGGAUAGAGGCUCAGAUUGCAGCUUGGCUCAGAGACCCUUCUCCCGCCUGCCACGUUCCUGGAAAGCUUGCCUGGGUCCCGCCUGCCACGCAUUCCUGGGCUUCCUGGCUGCUGAGCCCUGCAGCCUGCAGAGGCUCUGAUUACCACACCAGCUGAGGCUGUAACCAGCCUCAGAAGCAGAGGGUGCCUUGUCUCCAGACUAGACUAUGUCUCCAGAUGGCUGGAAUAUGGAAGAGCACGGUGGGCAGAGGAGGAGGGAGCCUCAACCUCUCAGGCCUACAUCCUGCUGGGACAGUUCCUUCUGAUGCACAAGAAUGAAGCAGAGUUCCAGAGGUGGAUCAUCUGCUGUUGCGGUGCCACAGAGCACGAAGCCCGCCAGAGCUCCACUUGCCUGAAGGAGUGGUG